rnacentral:rRNA from 1 species
UACGUAGGGGGCAAGCGUUGUCCGGAAUCAUUGGGCGUAAAGCGCGUGUAGGCGGCUAGGUAAGUCUGCUCUGAAAGCUCGGGGCUCAACCCCGGGAGGCGGGUGGAUACUGUCUAGCUCGAGUCCGGAAGAGGAGUGUGGAAUUCCUGGUGUAGCGGUGAAAUGCGCAGAUAUCAGGAGGAACACCAAUGGCGAAGGCAGCACUCUGGGACGUGACUGACGCUGAGACGCGAAAGCGUGGGGAGCAAACAGG